AUAUGGUGUCAUGUAUAAGCUAGUUUACUCUGAUGUUGUUAAGUUACUAUUGGAGUUUAUUCAUCCAUUAUGGAAGUCUUAACACACGUUAUAAUAUAUGCUUAACACAUGUUAUACAUUUUCAGUCACUUUAACACAUGUUACAGUAUGUAUAUAUACAUCAUGGUGUUUUGAAAACCACUAGCUUAUACAUGACACCAUGUUAGGUUAAACCAAGAUUAUAACAGAGGCUUAACACAUUUUAUCCCAGGUAUACGGUGUUACGAUAUUAACUUGUAUGUUCCAUAUUAACUUGUUCACGUGUUACGAUCAGUAUAUGCAUAUCAUGGUGUUUUGCAAACCACUUUCAUAUACAUGAAUACAAGUCGGGUUAUAAUGGAUGCCUAUAUGUUAUCAUAUGUAUACAAGUAGG
rnacentral:lncRNA from 1 species